AGAAACUUAGGUUAAAUUUAAACCAAGGACCUUCAAAGUCCUUAAUAAGAGAGAAAGUCUCCUAGUUUCUG
rnacentral:tRNA from 1 species